rnacentral:rRNA from 1 species
GACGAACGCUGGCGGCGUGCUUAACACAUGCAAGUCGAACGGUGAAAGCGGAGCUUGCUCCGCUGGAUCAGUGGCGAACGGGUGAGUAACACGUGGGCAACCUGCCCCUCACUUCGGGAUAACUCCGGGAAACCGGGGCUAAUACCGGAUAUGACCUCCUUGGGCAUCCUUGGAGGUGGAAAGUUUUUCGGUGAGGGAUGGGCCCGCAGCCUAUCAGCUUGUUGGUGAGGUAGUGGCUCACCAAGGCGACGACGGGUAGCCGGCCUGAGAGGGCGACCGGCCACACUGGGACUGAGACACGGCCCAGACUCCUACGGGAGGCAGCAGUGGGGAAUAUUGCGCAAUGGGCGCAAGCCUGACGCAGCAACGCCGCGUGCGGGAUGACGGCCUUCGGGUUGUAAACCGCUUUCAGCAGGGAAGAAGCCGCAAGGUGGCGGUACCUGCAGAAGAAGCACCGGCUAACUACGUGCCAGCCGCCGCAGUAA